GGGUUGUGAGGUUAAGCGACUAAGCGUACACGGUGGAUGCCCUGGCAGUCAGAGGCGAUGAAGGACGUGCUAAUCUGCGAAAAGCGUCGGUAAGGUGAUAUGAACCGUUAUAACCGGCGAUGUCCGAAUGGGGAAACCCAGUGCAAUUCGUUGCACUAUCGUUAACUGAAUACAUAGGUUAACGAGGCGAACCGGGGGAACUGAAACAUCUAAGUACCCCGAGGAAAAGAAAUCAACCGAGAUUCCCCCAGUAGCGGCGAGCGAACGGGGAGCAGCCCAGAGUCUGAAUCAGCUUGUGUGUUAGUGGAACGGUCUGGAAAGUCCGACGGUACAGGGUGAUAGUCCCGUACACCAAAAUGCACAGGCUGUGAACUCGAAGAGUAGGGCGGGACACGUGGUAUCCUGUCUGAAUAUGGGGGGACCAUCCUCCAAGGCUAAAUACUCCUGACUGACCGAUAGUGAACCAGUACCGUGAGGGAAAGGCGAAAAGAACCCCGGCGAGGGGAGUGAAAAAGAACCUGAAACCGUGUACGUACAAGCAGUGGGAGCACCUUCGGGUGUGACUGCGUACCUUUUGUAUAAUGGGUCAGCGACUUAUAUUCUGUAGCAAGGUUAACCGUAUAGGGGAGCCGCAGGGAAACCGAGUCUUAACUGGGCGUUAAGUUGCAGGGUAUAGACCCGAAACCCGGUGAUCUAGCCAUGGGCAGGUUGAAGGUUGGGUAACACUAACUGGAGGACCGAACCGACUAAUGUUGAAAAAUUAGCGGAUGACUUGUGGCUGGGGGUGAAAGGCCAAUCAAACCGGGAGAUAGCUGGUUCUCCCCGAAAGCUAUUUAGGUAGCGCCUCGUGAAUUCAUCUUCGGGGGUAGAGCACUGUUUCGGCUAGGGGGUCAUCCCGACUUACCAACCCGAUGCAAACUACGAAUACCGAAGAAUGUUAUCACGGGAGACACACGGCGGGUGCUAACGUCCGUCGUGAAGAGGGAAACAACCCAGACCGCCAGCUAAGGUCCCAAAGUCAUGGUUAAGUGGGAAACGAUGUGGGAAGGCACAGACAGCCAGGAUGUUGGCUUAGAAGCAGCCAUCAUUUAAAGAAAGCGUAAUAGCUCACUGGUCGAGUCGGCCUGCGCGGAAGAUGUAACGGGGCUAAACCAUGCACCGAAGCUGCGGCAGCGACACUAUGUGUUGUUGGGUAGGGGAGCGUUCUGUAAGCCUGCGAAGGUGACCUGUGAGGGUUGCUGGAGGUAUCAGAAGUGCGAAUGCUGACAUAAGUAACGAUAAAGCGGGUGAAAAGCCCGCUCGCCGGAAGACCAAGGGUUCCUGUCCAACGUUAAUCGGGGCAGGGUGAGUCGACCCCUAAGGCGAGGCCGAAAGGCGUAGUCGAUGGGAAACAGGUUAAUAUUCCUGUACUUGGUGUUACUGCGAAGGGGGGACGGAGAAGGCUAUGUUAGCCGGGCGACGGUUGUCCCGGUUUAAGCAUGUAGGCUGA
rnacentral:rRNA from 1 species